GGAGAAGCCAAGCGGCGGCAUACUGUGGGGAGCCAGCGGCGGUUGCAAAACAGCCAAUGUUCAUGAAGGUUGCCUCAUAUGGGACAUAGAUCAGAGCAUUUGAAUAACUACAGUGGAACAUCAGAGUUACAAACACCAGAGUUAUGAACUGACCAAUCAACCACACACAUCAUUUGGAACCGAAGUACAGGCAGCAGCAGAGACC